GACGAACGCUGGCGGCGUGCUUAACACAUGCAAGUCGAACGGAAAGGCCCUGCUUUUGUGGGGUGCUCGAGUGGCGAACGGGUGAGUAACACGUGAGUAACCUGCCCUUGACUUUGGGAUAACUUCAGGAAACUGGGGCUAAUACCGGAUAGGAGCUCCUGCUGCAUGGUGGGGGUUGGAAAGUUUCGGCGGUUGGGGAUGGACUCGCGGCUUAUCAGCUUGUUGGUGGGGUAGUGGCUUACCAAGGCUUUGACGGGUAGCCGGCCUGAGAGGGUGACCGGCCACAUUGGGACUGAGAUACGGCCCAGACUCCUACGGGAGGCAGCAGUGGGGAAUAUUGCACAAUGGGUGGAAGCCUGAUGCAGCAACGCCGCGUGCGGGAUGACGGCCUUCGGGUUGUAAACCGCUUUCGCCUGUGGCGAAGCGUGAGUGACGGUAAUGGGUAAAGAAGCACCGGCUAACUACGUG
rnacentral:rRNA from 1 species